AUUGAACGCUGGCGGCAUGCUUUACACAUGCAAGUCGAACGGCAGCGCGGGCUUCGGCCUGGCGGCGAGUGGCGAACGGGUGAGUAAUGCAUCGGAACGUGCCCAGUAGUGGGGGAUAGCCCGGCGAAAGCCGGAUUAAUACCGCAUACGACCUGAGGGUGAAAGCGGGGGACCGAAAGGCCUCGCGCUAUUGGAGCGGCCGAUGUCGGAUUAGCUAGUUGGUGGGGUAAAGGCUUACCAAGGCGACGAUCCGUAGCUGGUCUGAGAGGACGACCAGCCACACUGGGACUGAGACACGGCCCAGACUCCUACGGGAGGCAGCAGUGGGGAAUUUUGGACAAUGGGGGGAACCCUGCUCCAGCCAUGCCGCGUGCGGGAAGAAGGCCUUCGGGUUGUAAACCGCUUUUGUUCGGGAAGAAAUCCUCUGGGCUAAUACCCCGGGGGGAUGACGGUACCGGAAGAAUAAGCACCGGCUAACUACGUG
rnacentral:rRNA from 1 species